rnacentral:rRNA from 1 species
GCGUAAGCGCACGCAGGCGGUCUGUCAAGUCGGAUGUGAAAUCCCCGGGCUCAACCUGGGAACUGCAUUCGAAACUGGCAGGCUAGAGUCUUGUAGAGGGGGGUAGAAUUCCAGGUGUAGCGGUGAAAUGCGUAGAGAUCUGGAGGAAUACCGGUGGCGAAGGCGGCCCCCUGGACAAAGACUGACGCUCAGGUGCGAAAGCGUGGGGAGCAAACAGGAUUAGAUACCCUGGUAGUCCACGCCGUAAACGAUGUCGACUUGGAGGUUGUGCCCUUGAGGCGUGGCUUCCGGAGCUAACGCGUUAAGUCGACCGCCUGGGGAGUACGGCCGCAAGGUUAAAACUCAAAUGAAUUGACGGGGGCCCGCACAAGCGGUGGAGCAUGUGGUUUAAUUCGAUGCAACGCGAAGAACCUUACCUACUCUUGACAUCCAGAGAACUUAGCAGAGAUGCUUUGGUGCCUUCGGGAACUCUGAGACAGGUGCUGCAUGGCUGUCGUCAGCUCGUGUUGUGAAAUGUUGGGUUAAGUCCCGCAACGAGCGCAACCCUUAUCCUUUGUUGCCAGCGGUCCGGCCGGGAACUCAAAGGAGACUGCCAGUGAU